ensembl:lncRNA
CUCAAUUUGGAUGUUGCAGAUCUCAUCCCAUGAAUGGAGUGAGUGAAUUUGCAAUAACGCUGUAAUUGGUGCAGUAGCAGCUUGUCAGGCGGCUCCUAGAGCAACACGAGCUCUCAAGCUGUGGUAAAUACACUCUGCAUCACAAUUAUGUAACAGAGCGCAUCCUGUCCUGCACUCAUUUGCUGGAUAAAAAGGGCUAGCUCUUCAACUGGUGCAGACUGGGAUGGUGCCAUCGACUUCGAUGGCUGCAAAAUGGUGAAUGAGCAUGUGAUGAAGGAAAGAAACAGCUUUAUCACACCCCAAAGUUGGCUUGCUGGCGAAUUCAUGGAAGUAACAAGGACAGAACCAGAUUGCCACUCCCUUGGCAGCUUCCUGGCCACAGAGGUGAACCUUCCAGGGAAUGUCUUUCCAGUGGCUCUUACCUGUGGCUGAGGCUCCAGAUGGGACACCCUGUACACUUCUGCCCUUGUUCUCUCCUGAAUCUUCUGUGCUUGUUCCUGCUCAGGCUACACUGCACUGCAAAUAUUUGCUAGCUCACACAGAAGUCAGACAUUGGUUGUCCCAAGCCUUCCUGGAAGAUGCCUUUCAAAACCGAUUUUGUUCCAUAUCCGCUUUGAGCUGUGUAGAAGAAAAGCUAUACAGAGAGAGAGCUGAGCCUGGCAGAGCUGGCUGCUUGAGACGGAUCCUUUGCAGCACAGGAAUAAAUGAUUCUGUCACUCCCAGGAAACAGAGCCCUGGGUCCAAACUGUCGUCUUCAAAAAGACUUGGAUUUAUCUGUUUAUAGCAUGAGAGAACUCAGAAGCAACUGAAGGAGCAGGGGCAAUACCAGAAAUAUCACAGACAAUAGCUGCUGGCAUGUGGUCACUUAAAAGCUGUUAGGAGGCACUCUCUCUUUCUGUUCCUCACCUCUGCUUGUGUGUCUGUAUCCUUGUACACUGAGUGUGUAAAAUCCAGCAAUCGUACACCUGAAAAAUGUUAAAAAUUGGUUGAGGAAAGUUUUCCAAUAAAUAUAGUGUUGCACUUUUUAAACACAUGCUGGAGAUUCCCAUGACCACAGGGGUCCUGCCUCUUGUUUAACAGCCUGGUGGUCUGAAACAUCAAGGUCAGAGUGCAGCUAUUGGUCUGCGUGCCUAUUGUCUGCGCUUCCAACUUAGGCUGGUGAAAAGGAUAAUCGUGUCUGAGCCAACCUCUGCUUCCAAACCCACACCACUGGAAGCCUGUUCAUGAAUUAUUACGGAGAGAUGCUUAUGCUGGGUGGCCAUUUAGAGACAAGGAGGAGGCGUCUUUCUGCAAAGUGGGUACUGGGAGCAAAGUUUGGGUUAAGUUAGCUGAGGCAUCAGGGUUAACACCCUUGAUCUUCCUUUGUUGAAUGUGGUGGGAUUUUUGGCACACACAAAGACAGGGUGGCAAUUCCUGCAUUUCAGUGGGGCUUACCAGAGCCCUGGCGGCAGACGCAAGCCUGUAUGUACACAAGGUCACCACUCAUUUUUAGCACAAAACUGGGAGCUCAUCUCAUGCUGCAGGUAUAUAUCACACAGACCUCAGUGAGCACAGGCAUGCAGGACACAGGGGGACCGAGAGCAUAUGGAG